GUCAUCUGCCACCUUGGGCAGAGACCUGACAAAAGGAUACUGGCAGGUCCCAGUAGCACCCAAAGAUCAAGAAAAGACAACAUUCACCAUGCCUUGGG